ensembl:lincRNA
UAAAGAAAUACCUUGUGUCCUAUUGUACACUCUAUAUACUGUUACUAAAUAAAAUGUGUGGUAUUACAAAACAUCUAUAAAAAUGGAAACAAAGAUACAAAUAUAUUCUCUCUCCCCAAAUUAUGUUGUAAAAAGUAGGGGUUCUAGAAAGAGAAGUGUUCUGUGAUCACAAAAGUUAAAGAAACAUUAAGCUGUAUUUCAUGGUCUCUUCCUCCUAGAGACAUGUAAUUAAUAUUCAGGUAUCUGAGUGAUCCUACAAUAAGGAAAAUUAUUUAACUGUUUAUGGUUUCUUUCUCUUCCUCCUCCCUUCCCCUCUCUAAAUAUCUAAAUACGAUCUAGAGUUCCAGAGAGCAUGGUUGAGAGCACGAUGAGCUCAGGAAUUUGGGAGACCCCUUUCCUAGAUCACUAAUAUUUUUGUCUGUUUCCUCAGCAUCGGUUCCCUGUAACAGCGACCACUAGAGAGCUCUUCCCCAAGGCAGGAAAUCUCACCUGAUCACUUCAUUGUUCUGAGAAUGCACCCCCACAGCUGUCAUUCCUGCCCAUCAGCAUAUCAGAAAGAAAGGACCAGAAAGUGCUUGGAUACACAUUUAAACACUGCACUUGAGUUUCUGGUUCUGUCCAGAAACGGGACCCCAAGAAGGCCAAGUAAAGGAGAAGUGAGUGGCAACUCCGACUUCAGCAGAAGCCCCAAAGGCAGCCCAUCAUUCUUUCCAGGGCUUCUGGGUAGGUGGCCAGGGUACCACGAGGCUUUGCUUGCCGGGAGGGAGAAGGAGAGGGCUAGAGAAGAUCACCUGUGUCUCUGUUCCUGCUUUCAUCUGGUUUGCAGUUGGGCAUCUGGUUCUGCAGCAGGAAUUUUGGCUCCCGACCCAGGUCUUGUUACAGGACACCAGAUAGAAGUAAAGGUGAAGCAGAAGCACUUGGAAUCCCCAUUCCUGGCAGGGACCCAGGGCCAGCCCAGCCACAGCGCGGGCCACUCUCAGCCUGUUCACCUGCCUGCUUGUCUGUGUCUGACUUUGAGAGGCCGGAAAGAGCAGGGGUCUCAGAGUCACACAAUUUGGGUUUCAAAUUGUGUUCCUACUUUAUGUGUGUCAUCUGAUAAGUGCCUGUUCAUUUUGGAACCUCAGUUCCUAUCUGUAAAAUGUGACAAAUCACACUUUUCUGAAGAGUAAAUGAAAUGCUUGAAAACAUACCUCUCUAAAGACUUCACACAUAUUACUUCAUUUAUUCCAUACAAACCUAGGAGGAAGUAGUAUCAUCAUCAUCAUCACCAUCCUGUUUUAUGGAGGAGGAAACUGAGGCAGAGACAGGCUGGGACCUGGAACCCACCACCGAAUCGCUUGUACCUGGACAGUCUUCUCCAGCAGCAGCAUACAAAGAAACGAGUUGUUUACUAACUAAGUAGCGUCCAACUCUUUGCAACCCCAUGGACUGCAGCAUGCCAGACUUCCCUGUCUUUCACUAUCUCCCGGAGUUUGCUCAAACUCAUGUCCAUUGAGUCAGUGAUGCCAUCCAAUCAUCUCAUCCUCUGCCACCUGUUUCUCCUCUUGCCUUCAAUCUUUCCCAGGAUCAGGAUCUUUUCCAGUGAGUCGGCUCUUUGCAUCAAGUGGCCAAAGUAUGGGAGCUUCAGUUUCAGCAUCAGUCCUUCCAAUGAAUCUUCAGGGUUCAAUUCCUUUAUGAUUGACUGGUUUGAUCUCCUUGCAAUCCAAGGAACUCUGAGAGACUAAAGAAACUAUAAGGGACUCAUGUGCAGCUGGGGCAAUUAUGAGCAAUAGGAUACAAAAAGGCCACAAACCAAUCGCUGUUUCUUAGGUGCCUGAAGCAAAAGCAGGGUACUGCACAUGAUCUCAGCACACAGCACCACCACGGGGGUGGGCAGACCAUCCAAGCUAGCCACCUCCUGCCCCACCCAGGGACCUGGCCCGUGUUACCUUAUCUAAGGACCUAAGCAGCUCCUCUCCAGGAGCGAGCAAGGAUACCUUUUCCUUGUUGUUGCUCCCUUGUGCUGCUGCAUGGACCCCAGUGGAGGUGUGCCUGCCUGUUACCAGUUUCUAUUGGGUGAAGAGUCCAAGGGCCCAGGUUGGUAACAGAGAAGCUAGUAGCUUGUGGUCUCACCACCAGGUAGUGGCAGAGCACAGACCCCAGGCAGCAGUCACGCCCGGAGCCUGCAUCCUGAGGCUGUGCUCUUCUGCCUCUGGGAAAGUGGGGAAGCCCCUGGGGCCUGGGCGGGGAAGGCUCACGCUGAACACUGGCCCUUCUUCUUACUGCCUAGAGGCUGCUGGAGCUGCUCAGGGAGUCAUCCUGGCCGCUCUCUACAAGGACAAUGAUGUGGGGCCAGCAAGCUGUUCAAGAACAUGAGGAGCCUAGGCUGCUGGCUCAGGAAGGACUCGCGAGGCACCAAUGCAAGCAAGGUCAGUGGGGAGCCUGAGGGGCAGAAGCAGGAACUGGGGAACUGGGACUGCCCCAGCCUGUACCCUUGUGGAUGCUCUUGAAAUCCACACCAUCUGCUUCUGAUAGGCUCUGAGGAGUCGGGAGAUCACUUGCCUUGGUGGUGACGACUGUGUUCUCCAGGCAUCCCCAGAUUCGGGGUCCCUCCAGCUGGUUGCUCCUGCCUCAGCCACCUUCAUUAGAGUCUCCUCCUCCCCUCUUAGCUUUUACCCCAGGCUGAUGCUCUUAUACUCCUUGUGCCACUCUAGGGCCCUGUUGCCAUGAGGCUUGACUGACGCUCACCGGCCAGGGAGGGCAGGAGAUGUGUGUCUGAAGCCAGGGCAUCCAUGGAAGUGACUUUCAGUGCUUUCUUACCCAACAGCUAUGGUGAACAGGAGACUCAGCAGUCAUGACCUGAUAGGAGCAAAACAUUGAGGAUGAGACCUCAUGGGGGAUAAAGGUGUUUGUCAUGGCCUAAAUCCAUCAACUUACAACAGCUAAGUGCGGCCAGAGCAUGAAGAAAGUGGAAAAUGGGUGGGAGAAACAGAUGAUGAGUAUCAGUCAUGGCCUUGAGAUCAGCUGGGGCAGGGGACCAGCACUUGUUUCACUUACCCACUUGCAUUAAAGGUCUGUCAAAGGUCACAGACUUGAAUAAAGACUCAGUUGGUAUACAGAGUGAAGUAAGCCAGAAACAAAAACACCAAUACAGUAUACUAACACAUAUAUAUGGAAUUUAGAAAGAUGGUAAUGAUAACCCUGUAUGCGAGACAGCAAAAGGGACACAGAUGUAUAAAAUGGACUUUUGGACUCUGAGGGAGAGGGAGAGGGAGAGGGUGAGAUGAUUUGGGAGAAUGGCACUGAAACAUGUAUACUAUCAUGUAAGAAAUGAAUCGCCAGUCUAUGUUCGAUACAGGAUACAGGAUGCUUGGGGCUGGUGCUCGGGGAAGAUCCAGAGAGAUGAUAUGGGGUGGGAGGUGGGAGGGGGGUUCAGGAUUGGGAACUCGUGUACACCCAUGGCGGAUUCAUGUCAAUGUAUGGCAAAACCAAUACGGUAUUGUAAAGCAAAAUAAAGUAAAAAAACAAAAC